GCAGCAGCCACGGUAAUACGGAGGGUGCAAGCGUUAAUCGGAAUUACUGGGCGUAAAGCGCACGCAGGCGGUCUGACAAGUCAGAUGUGAAAUCCCCGGGCUUAACCUGGGAACUGCAUUUGAAACUGUCAGGCUGGAGUCUUGUAGAGGGGGGUGGAAUUCCAGGUGUAGCGGUGAAAUGCGUAGAGAUCUGGAGGAAUACCGGUGGCGAAGGCGGCCCCCUGGACAAAGACUGACGCUCAGGUGCGAAAGCGUGGGGAGCAAACAGGAUUAGAUACCCGCGUAGUCCCUGUCUCUUAUAC
rnacentral:rRNA from 1 species